GACGAACGCUGGCGGCGCGCUUAAUACAUGCAAGUCGAGCGAGAACCGGGGCUUCGGCUCCGGGGACAGCGGCGAACGGGUGAGUAACACGUGGGUAACCUGCCCUCGGCACCGGGAUAGCCCGGGGAAACCCGGAUUAAUACCGAAUGGCCCUUUCGGUUUUCGGACCGGUCGGCAAAGGUAGCUUCGGCCUCCGGCCGAGGAUGGGCCCGCGGCGGAUUAGCUUGUUGGUGAGGUAACGGCUCACCAAGGCUCCGAUCCGUAGCUGGUCUGAGAGGACGAUAAGCCACACUGGGACUGAGACACGGCCCAGACUCCUGCGGGAGGCAGCAGUAGGGAAUCUUGCGCAAUGGGCGAAAGCCUGACGCAGCGACGCCGCGUGCGGGAAGACGGCCCUCGGGUUGUAAACCGCUUUCAGGAGGGACGAAGCCACUCGGGUGAAUAGCCCAGAGGGUGACGGUACCUCCAGAAGAAGCCCCGGCUAACUACGUGCCAGCCGCCGCAGUAACAC
rnacentral:rRNA from 1 species